AAGAAAGUUUUGCAUGAAGCUCUGAUUUCAUUGCUUUAUAGUUGAAUUCUAUAUUCAAUUUUACAUGCGGGGAGAAUCCCUUAAAAGAAAUGCAUCUUUCCAUACAAAGAAUGGGAGGAUGUGUGCAUUGCUCAUGGCAGCAAGCUGAAGAUCUGACUCGUUGUGUGUAAAAGAUGAAAGAUAGGUCAGGACUCCCGGCCCUGUGAGGUGCACUGCUGUAGUUUCUGUCCACCCACCUAAUUCAGUUUCUGUGUUCUUGUUUGGCUUCAGCGAGGCCAUCCCUGCUUUUAAAAGUGGGAGGAAAAAAUAUUUAAAGAUGAUUUCUAAGAACCGAGCUGAUCAAGUUUUUUAUUGGUUGGAUUUCUUACAAAUGAGCCACCAGAACAUCUCCAAGCAAACAAACACGUUUAGGUAUUCUUUCUUCAAAGACUACUUGGCAGUCCUAUACUGCUGUCCAUGGUUUGUUACGUCCUUGCUGGAACCAAGAGUUGUGGUGACUCUGAAUGGAUGAAGUGAAACUUCCAGAGGAGGAACCUCAGCGCUGGGUGUGUGGCUGACCCAAAUAACACACAGGUGACAUUUUGGAGGGACCGUGAGUUCUGCAUGGAUGGAAAUGCUUGCUUCAUCUCAGCGUUUUCCCAAGUAGCAAUGAAACCAUUUACUGCUCAUCUAAAGAGAUGCUGAGAACAAGAGGAGAGAAUAAAAGGAAGCUUAAAGCAGUAGUAGAACUGCUUCCUCUAAUUCACUUUUUAAAUUGGGUUUUUGGUUAUAAAAUGAUCUUUCAUUGAAAAGAAACACUGGUUAGAGCCUCUUCAUCCACUCCACCCCUACAGGAAAACUUUUCCUGAAGGCCGCAGAAGAAACUGCACCCAGUGAAAUUUUAAUGCUUGUGGACAGAAAUGAGGGGCUCUGCAUGCUAGUGACUUCUCUUUGAAAAUGAGCUCAUUGCUGCUCAUUUCCCUCUGCUUUUGAUCUGUUCAAGUCUGUUUCUUCUUUGGAGAUUUCAGAAGGCAAUUCAUGACUGUAACAAAAGCAGAGUUAAAACAGACUCCUCCUAAUGAGAAACACAGCUGUGCUUCGCUUGUGAAGGAGGGAAUGAAGCUAUUGAAGAGAAGAAAAGAGGGAUGGGCCACAGAGAAGUGAACGGAGGGACAAACAUUUCAUAAAGGGAGAAAAAUGAACAGCUGGGAAGCCCCAGGCUGGUACUAAAUUUGCCAAACGAAAUGCAAAACAGAUUCCAUUACAGUAUCAAUUACAAAUACGUGUAAUGCCACGUAUUCCGGUGGGGCUUUGAUUAUUUUUGAUGUUACGAUUUGUGGGUAAAUAAUUUAAUUUGCGCAGAGAUAAACUGAAAGAUGAUUUCUGAAUAGCACUGAAUUUUGACUAUUUCAGAUUUUCCUGCUCUUGGCGCAUCUCUGCUGGGCACCACGUUGUGUGUGUGAAAGAUAAGUGGCUGCUUUGGAGUGCUGAUGUUCGUGCGUGGCUUUAAGUUGUGUUCACUGCUGGGAUUUGACUGAAUGGCCUGAACUGAGAAGCAGAUAAAGCUGCCUGUCAGAUAACGUGGUCCCAAAUGAUGAGUGGCAUCCUUUGGUAUUUAUGGAAACAAAUUAAUAUUAAUAAAAGCAAUACUAAGUGCUGAACUGUCCCAGAGUUCCUGUGUGUGCUCCAGGUAAUAAGCUAAGCAU
ensembl:lncRNA